GUAUUGGCCUACCGUGGCAAUGACGGGUAACGGGGAAUUAGGGUUCGAUUCCGGAGAGGGAGCCUGAGAAACGGCUACCACAUCUAAGGAAGGCAGCAGGCGCGCAAAUUACCCAAUCCUAAUACAGGGAGGUAGUGACAAGAAAUAACAAUACAGGACUUUAACAGUUUUGUAAUUGGAAUGAGUUGAGUAUAAACCCCUUUACAAGUAUCAAUUGGAGGGCAAGUCUGGUGCCAGCAGCCGCGGUAAUUCCAGCUCCAAUAGCGUAUAUUAAAGUUGUUGCAGUUAAAAAGCUCGUAGUUGGAUUUCUGUUAAUAAUUUAUAUAUAAUAUUUAACAUAUUUAUAUAAUAUUAACAUAAUUCAUAUUACUAUUUAUAGUAUAUGAAAUUUUACUUUGAGAAAAUUAGAGUGCUUAAAGCAGGCUUUUGCCUUGAAUACUAGAGCAUGGAAUAAUAUUAAAGAUUUUUAUCUUUCUUAUUGGUUCUAAGAUAGAAAUAAUGAUUAAUAGGGACAGUUGGGGGCAUUUGUAUUUAA
rnacentral:rRNA from 1 species